rnacentral:snRNA from 1 species
GCGCUCACUUCCGCAGCACAUAUACUAAAAUUGCAACGAUACAGAGAAAAUUAGCAUGGCCCCUGUGCAAGGAUGACAUGCAAAUUCGUGAAGCGUUCCAUAUUUUU